UCCGGUGGCAAUGGCGAAGGGGACCCACCUGUACCCAUCCCGAACACAGAAGUUAAGCCCUUCAGCGCCGAUGGUACUUGGCUGGAAACGGCCCGGGAGAGUAGGUCGCCGCCGGUU
rnacentral:rRNA from 1 species